rnacentral:rRNA from 1 species
GACGAACGCUGGCGGCGUGCUUAACACAUGCAAGUCGAACGGAAAGGCCCUGCUUUUGUGGCGUGCUCGAUUGGCGAACGGGUGUGUAAAACGCGAGUAACCUCUCCCUAUCUUUCUGAUAACUUCACGGAACACGGGCUAAUACCCCAUAGGAUCUCUUGCUCCAUGUUGGUGGUUGGAAAAAGUCGGCGGUUGGGGAUGGACUCGCUGGUUAUCAGCUAGUUGGGCUGGUAGUGGCUUACGAAGGCUUUGACGGGUAGCCGGCAUGGGAGGGGUGCCGGCGACAUUGGGACUGAGGUAGGGACCAGAAUCCUACGGGAGGCAGAAGUGGGAAAUAUUGCACAAUGGGCGGAAGCGUGAUGCAGCAACGCCGCGUGCGGGAUAACGGGUUACGGGUGAUAAACCGAUUUGGACUGUGACGAAGCGUGAGUGACGGUAAUGGGUAAGGAAGCACCGGCUAACUACGUG